AUACGGAGGAUCCGAGCGUUAUCCGGAUUUAUUGGGUUUAAAGGGUGCGCAGGCGGCCAUUUAAGUCAGCGGUUAAAUCGUGGGGCUCAACCCCAUUCUGCCGUUGAUACUGGGUGGCUUGAUUGCGGUCGAGGUUGGCGGAAUUCGUUGUGUAGCGGUGAAAUGCAUAGAUAUGACGAAGAACACCGAUUGCGUAGGCAGCUGACCAGACCGCAAAUGACGCUCAUGCACGAAAGUGCGGGGAUCGAACAGGAUUAGAUACCCCGGUAGUCCGCACAGUAAACGAUGAAUACUUGUUUUCGGCGAUAUAAUGUCGGAGGCAAAGCGAAAGCGAUAAGUAUUCCACCUGGGGAGUACGCCGGCAACGGUGAAACUCAAAUGAAUUGGCGGGG
rnacentral:rRNA from 1 species